AAAUCCAAAUUUGUUCUGUUUCUAAAAACGUUUAUAUAUGUUUGUACACACAUGUAAACUAAACUUCUAAGCUCUUCAUAUUAUGUGCAAUGUUAUGACUCAUGAGGAUGAUAAAGCUGAGGCUCCGGAGGAUGAGAUGGUUGUGAAAGAGCCUGAGGUAGAAAAGAAACAGAACUAGAACCGGCGUUUGAAAAACAGAAGGAGAGGAAGCAGAAAGCUUUGAAGUAGAAAGAGAUGGAUAAUGUUGCAUACAAUGACUUCGAAACUUCUAUCAAGCAUUACUCCAAAAAGGCAUUAGGGAGAAAUAGAAACAUGAAGAGGUGAAUCGUUUAAAGAGGGAGACUGCUCAAAAAGAGGAAUCACAUAGAAGAAUAAGAAGAAGAGAGUAAGAGACCCAUGAGAGAACAGAGCGUCAAGCUGCAGAGAGAGAGAAGCUUCUAGACUGAGAAUAAGGCAAGAAAAGGCACUUCAUCUUGACGGACCUGAGAAAGGACCUGAUGCUACACAUGAGGCACAUAUUAUGAAGAAAAAGGGGAUCUUAUGAGUGUGCUCAUGCUUGAUGAAAAGAUUUCUCCUCAAGUUAUGAACAACUCAUGUGUAUCUUGCAAGUGUUCUCACAGAAUCAAUAUAUCUGGAAGCGAAAACUCAGCCGCAAGUGAUCAUGAUCCGCUGCAACAAGCACAUCCAUUGGAGACAACCACUGCACAUGUUCUGCCUCCUUGCGGUGGGAGCACUGUUGAGGAGCUACUGGUUUUAGCAUUUGAGUGUUUGCUCAAAAAGGCUCGCAAUACUUAACCGACCAAGUUAGAAAGAUUAGAAUCCUACUCUUUACUUGCAAUCCUUGAUUUCAUAUAUUAUGUGUGCAGAUUAUUCAUACAAUAAAAUUUUGCUUCACUUUA